UUAAAUUUUAUUUAUUAAUUUUGUAAUUUUAAAUAUAAAAUAUUAAAAAUAAUUAUAUAUGAAAAAGUUUUAGUAUUGUUUAAAGAAAAAAUAAAUUUAAUUAUAGUUAAAUAGUAUUGUAAAAGAAUAUUGAAAUAAUUUGAAAAAUUAUUAUUUUAAAAGAAAAUUUUAUUUAUUGUACCUUGUGUAUCAGUGUUUAUUAAAUAAAAAAUAUAUAAAAUAUUUUUCUCGAUUUUAAAAGAGUUAAUAUAAUAUAAAAGUUAAUGUGAUAAAAUUAUUUUAAAUAUUAUAUUAGAAAUGAAAUGUUAUUCGUUUUUAAAGGUAUCUAGUUUUUUAAGAAAUAAAUUUAAUUUAGAAAUUAUAAAUUUAUUAAAUUAUUUAUAAAAUUUAAUAAUUUAUAAUUUUAAUAUUUUAUGGGAUAAGCUAUAAAAUAAAUUUUAUAAAUAAAUAAAUAAAUUAAAAAAUAUAUGUUUAGAAUUAGCAAUUAUUAAAAAAUAUGUUAUAAUUUAUUUUAAUAAAUAAAUUAUUUAUUUUAUUUUAAAUUUUUAUUAAAAUUUUAAUUUGAAUAAGAAAAAUUAAUUAAUAAUGAUAAAAUUAGUAUAUUAUAUAUUGUAAAUAUAAAUUUUAAUGAUAAGUUUUAGUU
rnacentral:rRNA from 1 species